rnacentral:rRNA from 1 species
UACGUAGGGUGCAAGCGUUAAUCGGAAUUACUGGGCGUAAAGCGCGCGUAGGUGGUUUGUUAAGUUGGAUGUGAAAGCCCCGGGCUCAACCUGGGAACUGCAUUCGAAACUGACAAGCUAGAGUAUGGUAGAGGGUGGUGGAAUGCUUGGUGUAGAGGUGAAAUUCGUAGAUAUAGGAAGGAACACCAGUGGCGAAGGCGACCACCUGGACUGAUACUGACACUGAGGUGCGAAAGCAUGGGGAGCGAACAGG